GACCUAGAAAUACUUUGUGGCUUGUGUUGGAGAUCGAUGCGACACGGCCGCGCCUAAUCCCGUCGCUCUUUUUCGCUCGCUCCCAGGUAAUGACGGACUUGCUUGGGAGAGUUCUGGACUCCAAAUUUCCUGCACAUAACUCAGAUGAUGGUUCAGUAGCUAGAGAAUCCAAAGCUGCUAAUUCAGACCAGACUGUUCACCAUCGGUGUUUCAAGGCCUCUUCAGAUCCAUUUUUUCGGUUUUCGAACGACACUCCAACACGGGUUCAGUUGAAAACAAGUCUAGCAAUUCCAGAAGCCAUGGCUGGGUGACAAGCCUGAAUAAGGUCAUGACUAGUGGGCCGAUGAGGAGACUUCAAGAGUGUAUACUAUGGACAAGCACGGCGGACACUUUGAGGUCAACCAGUGAUAUAUGGUUUCUUGGAAAAUGUUAUAAACUCUCACUUGAGGAGUCAUCACAUGGUUCUGAUGCUCCCAAUAGUUAUGAUGCUUUCCUAGAAGAUUUCUUAUCAAGAAUUUGGAUAACAUACCGGAAAGGUUUUGACCCCAUUGGUGAUUCAAAGUUCACAUGUGAUGUCAACUGGGGAUGUAUGAUCAGAAGUAGCCAGAUGCUUGUCGCUCAGGCAUUGAUCUUUCAUCAUCUAGGGAGAUCUUGGAGGAUGCGCUUGCAGAAGCCACAUGAUCCUGGGUAUAUUGAAAUUCUUCAUCUUUUUGGUGACUCGGAGGCAUGUGCUUUUUCAGUGCACAAUCUGCUUCAAGCUGGGAGGUGUUAUGGUUUGGCUGCUGGAUCAUGGUUGGGUCCUUAUGCUAUGUGUCGAACAUGGGAAACCCUUGCUCAUGCUAACAAAGAGCAAAUUGAAAGUGAUAAAUGCAAAGAAAGCUUGCCCAUGGUUCUAUAUACUGUUUCAGGUGAUGAAGAUGGGGAGAGAGGUGGAGCUCCAGUUAUCUGUAUUGAGAUUGCUGCCAGACUAUGUUAUGAUUUUAAAAAGGGGCAAUUGAACUGGGCACCUAUUCUGUUGUUGGUUCCUUUGGUACUUGGACUAGAAAAGAUCAACCCCAGGUACAUUCCUUUGUUGUGGGAAACAUUUACAUUUCCACAAAGCCUGGGCAUUUUAGGUGGAAGACCUGGGGCCUCUACCUAUAUUGUUGGCAUACAGGACAACAAGGCACUGUACUUGGAUCCUCAUGAAGUCCAACCGGCUGUUGAUAUCAAGAGGGAUGAUUUGGAAGCUGAUAGUUCUUCAUAUCACUGCAGCACUGUGCGUCAUGUGCCACUUGACAUGAUCGACCCAACGUUGGCCAUUGGGUUCUAUUGCAGAGAUAAAGAUGAUUUCGAAGACUUUUGUUCCCGUGCUUCUAAGCUUGCAGACAAGUCAAACGGGGCACCACUCUUUACUGUUGCCCAGAAUCUUCAGCCCGCAAAGCCAGUUCCUUACGAUGAUCUUUUGGCAGUUGAUACCUUUACUGACACUGAUGAUCCCGUCCAUGAUGAUGAAUGGCAGAUUUUAUGAAGGCCAUGUCUUAAUGCCAUCUGAAAUAUUAAGUUUUAUCGUCUUAGGGCAGGCACCAACCUAACCUGGACAUCAUAUGUUUAGAGGAGCCAGAGUGUGCUGGAUUUCUUUUCUUUCACUUAUUCUUUCUGAUUUAUUGUCAAGAUCCUUGUACAUGUAAAAGAAAGAUAUAAUCCCAUAACUCAAUAAUGGAUGAUAACUUCCACAUGAGUUCCCAA